rnacentral:tRNA from 1 species
AUAGAUAAAAAUCUAAUUAUUCGGGCUCAUAACCCGAAGGUCACUGGUUCGAGUCCAGUU